AUGGAGGAGCAGCUAGAGGGAGAGGAGAAGGACUGGAACUGUGAUUCAUCUGAUGAGGAUUACUCCUAUGGUGAGGAUUCUGAUGGAGAGGCAAAGAGGAUGAAGAGCCAAUUUCCUAGAUUCAAUAAUGACACUGAAAUUCCAAACUUCCAGUUGUCAAUGGUCUUCAGAAGCAAGAACCAACUUGUCAAAGCAUUGAAGAGAUAUGUGCUAGUGACAAAAAGAAGCAUCGUGUUCAAAAAAUUAGAGAUAGAUAGAGUUAGAGCCAAGUGUGGAUGGCCUGGAUGCCCUUGGUUGAUAUAUGUAGCAAAAACCAGCAGGACAAGCAGAUUCCAAGUCAUCACAUAUAAUGAUGAACAUCAUUGUGCCCAAAACAGAGAGAAUAGGCUAGUGACUGCAAAUGUUAUUGCACAGAGGUAUGAGCACUUCAUUCUUGCAAAUCCAAUGUUGAAGAUAGAGAGUAUGAAAGCUACAAUAUUGCAAGAUAUGUUUGUAGAUGUGUCCACCUCAAAGUGCAAGCAUGCAAAGAAACCUGUGAUGGACAAAUUGCUAUCUGGCUUGAAGAAUGAAGAUAACAGAGUGUUUGAUUACCAGCUUGAGCUUCUUAGAAGUAAUCCUGGAAGUACAGUAGCAAUUUGUUUGGAUCCAACUGACUUGGAGCACAAUAUAUUUCAAAGCUUUUAUGUUUGCUUUAACGCAUUGAAGCAAGGAUUCAAAGCUGGCUGCAGGAAAGUGAUAGGAUUAGAUGGUUGCUUCUUUAAAGGAGCUGUGAAGGGUGAGCUGUUGUGUGCUAUAUCUAGGGAUGCAAAUAAUCAAAUGUAUCCAAUGGCUUGGGCAGUAGUUGAGCAGGAAACAAAUGAGACAUGGAAAUGGUUUAUUGGUUUUCUCAUUAAAAUUUAG
rnacentral:rRNA from 1 species